GUGGGGAAUCUUGCGCAAUGGGCGAAAGCCUGACGCAGCCAUGCCGCGUGAAUGAUGAAGGUCUUAGGAUUGUAAAAUUCUUUCACCGGGGACGAUAAUGACGGUACCCGGAGAAGAAGCUCCGGCUAACUUCGUGCCAGCAGCCGCGGUAAUACGAAGGGGGCUAGCGUUGCUCGGAAUUACUGGGCGUAAAGGGUGCGUAGGCGGUUUUAUAAGUCAGUGGUGAAAUCAACGGGCUCAACCUGUUAACUGCCAUUGAUACUGUAGGACUUGAAUAUGAGAGAGGUAGGCGGAAUGUUGCAUGUAGCGGUGAAAUGCUUAGAUAUGCUACGGAACACCGAUUGCGAAGGCAGCUUACUAUUUCAUGAUUGACGCUGAGGCACGAAAGCGUGGGUAGCGAACAGGAUUAGAAACCCUUGUAGUCC
rnacentral:rRNA from 1 species